ensembl:snRNA U2 U2 spliceosomal RNA
AUCACUUCUCAGCCUUUUGGCUAAGAUCAAGUGUAGUAUUAUUUUCAUCUUAUACUGAACCAAAAAAGCCCCCAAUUUAU